rnacentral:rRNA from 1 species
AUGCUGCAGCAGCAGCAGGCUUCCGGCCGGGGCGCCGGCACGGUGGCGGCCGACAUGCUCGUCGAGGCUCGGGAUUCGGCGAAAAGGCAGCAAUUCCUGGGUGAUCUCGCCCAGUUGAUCACCAACAAGGACAGAGACCUUCAGGUGAUCUCGGUGUGGGGAACAUGCGGUGAUCUUGGGACAACCUCGAUCAUCAGGAAGGCGUACAAUGAUCCGGAGAUCUGCCGGAGCUUCGCCUGCCGCGUCUGGGUAAAGCUCAUGCAUCCUUUCAAUCCCCAUGAGUUCAUGCGGCGAUUCAUGGCACAGGUCUACGCCGCAGAUGCUUGCGUCGACAAGGAAGGAGCAGAUGUGGGAGUACAUGUCCUCACAAAAAUGGAGGCCAUGCAGGAAGAUGUGGGUGUGCUCAGACGUGAGUUUGUGCAGGAAGUCAACACCAAGACUUACCUCGUUGUGCUGGAGAACCUAACUGACAUGGUAGAUUGGGAUGCUGUGAGGACGUUCCUGCCCGACAUGAAGAAUGGCAGCUGGAUCAUCGUGUCGACGCAGCAGUUCGAGGUUGCAAGCUUGUGCAUUGGGCAUGCUUACCAACCACUGGAGCUCAAGCAGUACUCACCUGAGCACUCGGUUUGUGCAUUCUUCAAGGAGGGUUCUCAAGACUAUGGACCCAAAGAAGAGAAACCAAUGGUGUGUGAAGUGAGCCCGAAUUCGUCCUUGGAAAAGAUUCCCUCCUCCAAUAUUAAAGGGAUCGAGGACUAUAUGAAAAAUUAUCCCCUUGUUGGACGUGAGUUAGAAAUGACUGAGCUUCGCAGCUAUACAGCCAGGGCCCGCUUCAGCAAUUCUCCAGUUAUAUCUGUUUGGGGGAUAGCUGGCAUUGGGAAAUCAGCUCUUGUUCGAAACUUGUACUAUGACAGAAUGCUUCACAGCAACCAAUUUAACAAGUACAGUUGGGUGGAUGUAUCACAUCCAUUCAAUUUAAGGGAUUUUUCUCGGAGCUUACUUUUGGAUCAUCAUUCAGAAAAAGACCCCAUUAAAGAGUGCCGUGAGCUACUGAGCGAAAAUCAGUGUCUGGUCAUUAUUGAUGAUCUCCAGUCCAAAGAAGAAUGGGACUUAAUACAGUCUGCAUUGGUAUCUAGACCUUCUUCAAGUGUUAUCAUUGUUAUUACAACCGAAGCCGGUGUUGCCACAUAUUGCACAAAUAACGAAGGGCAAGUCUUUAAUGUCAAAGGUCUAGAAGCUGUAGCGGCCAUGGAUCUCUUCAGGACAGAGGUACACAGGAAAAAUCCUUCAUCCCCUUUAAAGGAUCACGAAGAUGUGGAGCUAGAAGAGCUUAUUCUGAAGUGUGGAGGUCUUCCCAAAGUGAUAGUUUCUAUAGCUGCCUUAUUGGCCACACAGACGGUAACAUUGAUGGAUACUGUGCGCUCACUGAAUCAAAAAUUUAUGCAGCAUCUAGAGACCAAUCCAGAUUAUGAGUGUCUCAAGGGCCUGUUUGAUUGGAUGCACUCGUACUUCCGUACUUGCCCAGAUUCACUCAAGCCAUGCAUCUUCUACCUGUCAAUUUUUCCUCGGCACCACGGCAUUCGGCAAAGGCGACUAGUAAGGAGGUGGAUUGCAGAAGGUUACUCUAGAGACAGUGAUGAAGAAUCUGCUGUUGACAAAGGGGAGAGCUUCUUCUCCAAGCUCCUCGAGCUGAGCAUAAUUCAGCAGAUACCACAGUUGGUCACCACUGCAUACAAUGACACAAGUAUGGUCUCGUGCCAGGUCAAUGGCUUCAUCCGUGAGUACAUUGUCUCGCGCAGAAUGGAAGAGAACCUUGUGUUUGAACUCGGGCCCAAUUGCGUCCUAACCACCCACCGCACAGGGAGACACCUCAUCAUAUUGAGAGACUGGGACAGAGACAAGAUUGUGUUUGAGAGCAUCGACUUCUCACGGCUACGGUCGCUGACAGUGUUUGGAAAGUGGGAAUCAUUCUUCAUCUCUAAGAGUAUGAGGCUACUUCGGGUGCUUGAUCUGGAGGACGCACUGGGUGUAAAGGAUGAAGAUCUUGACAAGAUGGUGAAGCGUCUGCGUCGCCUGAAGUUUCUCUCUGUACGAGGAUGCGGUGAGAUCUUCCAUCUGCCAAGCUCACUCGGCGAUCUCAGGCAGCUCCAGACUCUGGAUGUGAGGCACACCUCCAUACGCAAACUGCCAGCGAGCAUCACAAGGUCACAGAAGCUGCAGUAUAUCCGCGCCGGCACCACCGUCCGAGCAUCAGCACCGCCUGCCUCAUCCAGCAGGUUGCCAAAGUUCCACAGACGCCGCGGCCUGUUUGGUAUCAAGGUGCCCAAAGGGAUCGGAAAACUGACGGCGCUGCACACACUCGGCGUCGUCGACGUCGGUGCUUCAGGAGGGAAGGCCGUCGUGGAAGAGCUCAGGAAACUCACCCAGCUGCGCAAGCUCGGAGUGUCUGGCAUCACCAGGCAUAACAGCAAGGACUUCUUCUCUGCAACCUCAGGCCUUGUGCAUCUGGAAUCCUUGCUGGUGCGGCUGGGCAAGGACAGCCAAGGCUGCCUGGACGAAAUCACCCUGCCUUGGGAGAACCUGCGGAGCCUCACACUCCACGGGCUUCAAGACAAGCUGCCACCAUCAGAGAACCUCAGCAAGCUCAUGAAGCUGGACCUGGAGAUGGACGCCUUAAAGGAAGAUGACGUCGAGUUCCUGGGCAACAAUCUACCGGAGCUAUGCAUCCUGCGUCUCCGAGUCGGACAGCUUCAGGAUGGCAAGCUCCAUUUUCACGCCAAGAUGUAUGGGGAGGAGCUGGUCACCUUCAAGAAGGUGAAGAUCCUCGAGAUGGCCUCCGGCGCCAGCGAGCUACACGUGACCUUCGGAUCGAGGUCGAUGAAGAGCGUCGAGCUGCUGAAGAUCGACUGCUCCAGCGCGUCGUACCAUCUCAAGGGCCUGAACUUUCUGUCCGAGCUCAAAGAAGUCUUGCUCCAGGGUACCAAUGAUGAGGCGAUCAAGAGCAACUUGGAGACCCAGCUUGCCAACCAUCCCAAGGCGCCUACAGUGAAGCUGGAGGGACUACCAAGUUCGUCAUGA